rnacentral:rRNA from 1 species
CGAACCUACCCUUUAGACGGGGACAACAUUCCGAAAGGAGUGCUAAUACCGGAUGUGAUCAUCGUGCCGCAUGGCAGGAUGAAGAAAGAUGGCCUCUACAAGUAAGCUAUCGCUAAAGGAUGGGCCUGCGUCUGAUUAGCUAGUUGGUAGUGUAACGGCCCACCAAGGCGACGAUCAGUAGCCGGACUGAGAGGUUGGCCGGCCACACUGGAACUGAAACACGGUCCAG